GGCGGCAUCGCUGUGAAAGGUCUUUCCAACAGUAAUGGAGCCGAAUUUAAAUCUAAUAGUGAGAGUCACAGUAGCGCCAUCUCUUGGUGUGCUUCUGAAAUUGCUGUGGCAUCUCUGCAUUCAAGAUGAUGACUGCCUCGGAACAAAAUAUGAAACGAUAUCUUUGCUGUUUUAUUGUUUUCUUGGGGAGAAGCCAUUAAUAGCCUAUGGGAACCCGUUUCUGCCUCAGUGUUAAAAAAUUAAGAUCUCAUUCUUGUUGACCUUCGUUGGGAGAUGCCCUCUGUCCUUCUGCUGGAGAGUGAGGUAGGAGAAGUUGAGGAAUUGGAGGGAGGGAUGCAUAAUCUGCAGGUCUCAGGGGACGUUCUGCAGGUGUGCUCAUCUGCUGGCUUCGAGAAAGAGAGAGAGAGCGACAGAGAGACCCAA
rnacentral:lncRNA from 1 species